rnacentral:misc_RNA from 1 species
CAACCACAAAUACCACCAACAAAAUAAUAACCAUCGCUACCACCAACACCAUUCACCACGAUGGCUACCAUAAAUUCGGUACAGAAGAGUAUUCAUUUGCCAUUAACGAGCUUGUCGUCGCCGCGUGUUUUGAUGUGCAGCGCCUCUGUCGGCACCGAAGGUUCCGUUACGCUACAAUUGAGAGACUCGUCCGAUUCAAAUCAGUCGCCAGCUCAAACGUCUUUGGAAAAUGCCUUGACCAUCGGCUAUCCCGACCCGGAGAUGUUGGCCGACGUGUUCGGUACACUGCAGACAUCCUCAUUCAAGAAUCACAGCAGUGCGCUGGUGUCAACAACGCCAACAACAAUAACAAAUCAUAAUACUAAUCCGAUUAGCAGUAAUAGCAGUAGCUGCAACAACAACAAACCCACAAAAUCCCCAACCAACGNCACGAGCAGUNCGCCGAGCAACAGUAGCACCUCCACCACCACCUCCGCACCGGCGAACAAAGUUACAAUCAGUCGUCGCAAUCAAAGCAGCGUAGCAACAGCAACAACAACAAGCGCCGCUACAUCUGCCAAUACAGCAACAACAACGGCGCACACGACGACCAAGUCAUCCGUGCAAACGGUGUCCACAGCCACGAACACCACCAACAAGACGACCAGCAGCUACGUCAAGAAUUGUCUGAUACGCAGCAGCAGUUGCAGCAACACCAACAACGUCACCUCGCUGGCACAGAUAAUGAGCAACAGCAGCACGAGCAGCUCAUCGUCGCUACUGAAUCACAGCAACACGAACAGCAACAGUAACUGCAGCAGCAACAGUAAUUUCAGCUCGUCAAGCAGCAGCAACGACAGCAUAGUCAGUGUCAACAGCAACAACAGUGGUGGUGGUGGCGUGCUGAAGAGCGGCGGCAGCAGCAAAGUUGUCACUGCGGGCGGUGCGACGGGCGCGACGCUCAAGAAGAAUCGCACCAAAUUAUCUUCUCCAACGCGUCAUGGACCACAGCAGUGCCAGAUCUGUAGUAAAAUCUUUGGAAAUGCGUCAGCGUUGGCGAAGCACAAACUGACGCAUAGCGACGAGCGGAAAUACGUGUGUGCGAUGUGUUCGAAGGCGUUUAAGCGACAAGAUCACUUAAAUGGCCACAUGAUGACACAUCGCAACAAAAAACCCUACGAAUGCAAAGCUGAGGGCUGCGGCAAAUCAUACUGCGAUGCACGUUCNCUGCGCCGACAUACUGAGAACCAUCAUUCGGGCAUUAUAACACCACAAAAUCAUACUCUCUCGCCAACCUCAAGCACACCGAACGGACUAAGUCUUUCACCGGCCACAGCAAGCGGGGAUGCCAGUUCACCGGACGGUGCCACAUGCAUACGCACUUACAUCUCCACAGGUGGCAGUAUUGUUGAUGCGGCCACCGGAGUUGCGCUCACCGAAGAGCAAAUAAAGGCCAUCAAUUUGCCUAUUAAGACCGGUGUCACGCUGCUUUCGCCCACGUCAACGUCGUCUGCGUCGUCAGUGAGUGGUGCUUCGUUGCCCGCGUCGUCCCCUACAAUUGCGCUCGCCGAGACUAGCAUCGUGGACACCGGUGAGGGUUUGACUCGCGAGCAACUGGAUUUGAUCAGUAAGAUUAUGCAACAGACGAAGCAAACGAGCGCACAGGUGACGGUCUCCUCACCCACCAGCGUUAAUUCUUACAAAGUAGACACAAAUCCAACUUCAUCUACACUUGGUGCGACGAGUUCACAUCCUGCCCUGAGCGGUUCAUCGGGUCGACCGCGUACGUGGAAUAUGCAACUAUUAAAUACGCAAAAUGUAUCCAUCGCCGUCGAUGAUUCCAAUUCCGAUGCGACGUCCAGUACAGCAACAUCGCCCAUCGAAGCCAAAGAAGAGGAGGUGAAUCAACAAUUUGUGGCCGCCAUUAAUCCGCAUCUCUUGAAUAUUGUCAAGAUGGAUCAGAAGCAAGUUGAAUGCAAUUUGUGUCAUCGCAAGUUCAAGAAUAUACCCGCACUCAACGGACAUAUGCGGCUGCAUGGGGGCUAUUUCAAAAAAGACCCCGAAACCAAAAAGACAGAAAAGAAAGAGCCCAGCGGACCACCGCUGCAGACAGCCAGUAUUGGCGUGCGUGCACUGAUUGAAGAGAAAAUCAUCAGUAAACGCAAAGAUAUGAACAAGGGUGCCUUCGUAGUUCCUGCACCACCCAGUAGCGUAUCCAGCACUUCCACAAUCCGACGAUCGAUUAGCGAUCUAGAAAGUUUCCUCAGUCCCAAAUCACACAGUCACAAUGGCAACAUCGGCAGCGGUAAUGGUGCCAACAGUAGUAACAGCAACACGUCUAGUCAGAAUUCGCCCACCGCCACCACAACGACAAUGCUACCUGCCGCAACUACAAUCAAAAACUUCAGUGGUGGUACAUUGGGCUUGCAACAAAUCGGCAUGUCGCAGAGUAUCGAAAUUUUCAGCACAAAGCAACAGAAGACAGUUGGUAAUGUGGGCCAUAGUUUGGGUAUGGGCUUGAGUGCGGCUCUCCAAGCGAANAAUGCAACGAUGAAUCCGUCAACGAUGAAAUCUGCAGCAACGACAAAUACAACGACUACCAAGGGAACUUCGACCGAUCCGAAAGACUCGACACUCAUUGAGUUAUUGAAGCGCGGCACGCGUAUCGCCGUCACUGCCAAGAAGCCACUAAACAGUACAAACCCAAUAAUAAAUAUGGGAAGUAGUAGCAGUAAUAACGGCAAUGGCGGAUCGCGUCAAAUAAUCACCAACAACAAUCGCACUGUGAUUAUACCGUCCGANGUGCAAGUUCUACCCACCCGUAUGGCCAAGUCGNGUACUAACGUCCNGCGAUCCUCUACUCCCGCCGGCGUAGCCCUGACCGACACGACGCCACUAUCACUCACCAUAUCGCAGAGUGGUGACGGCGGCAUGGGUGGUGAUGUGUAUACGGUUACUUAUAGUAGUGACACAUCGGGAUUUUUCGAUGAUGCCGAGGUGUAUAAUGUCGCUGAUACGGAUAUGUUGCUGCAGACGGUAGAUUCAAUGCAGUUACUCAACGAUGACUCGCAACAAUUAAAAAGCGAACAUUCCGAACAAUUUGGCUCUGUNACUGGCGUGGGGAUUACGGAAGGCGAUCAAACCGAUAAUAGCGGUAAUUGCAUUCAAGCCGAAUACUUGAAGUUAGAAGCCGACGGUAGUGUCAAUGCUAUGCCCACCACUUUACCCACUUUCCAACAAUUUCAUUCCAAGGAGUUAAUCAUGCAGAAUAGUGCCCAGAUACAGGCUGUGACUAGCAUGCGUUCCAACGCGCAUCAACUGGGCUCGUUAUCCUCACCUAUAAACUCGCCGCUCGCAUAUCCAACACCACCCUCCAGUCAUGAAAAUAUGACNCAAUCAUCGCCCUACGUCGAUGAUGGGCACCAGUAUUCCGAAGUGACAAACGCUUUCUUCAAUGAGAAAUGCAGUGCCGAUUUCCUCACGCAGUCAGCAACCGAAGUGACUUUCUUCAAAAGCAACGACAAUCAGCAUGAGCUCACCGACACCGAGAAGAUAUUGAAGUUGAAGACCGUGUUGGAGGAAAGCGCUUUCGAUGGUUCCAUCAAGGUGGAGGAUUUACUGAAUGGUACAGAGGAGGAUGACACGGAAUGUGAUCUACGGGACUUUGCUGAAAGCAAUCUGGCAUUUUUGGAUGAGGACCAAGAGUUUCUAAAUGAUUCGCGAAAUGCAACUUCGCCUUUGCCCGAAUCAUUUUUCACCGGCAGUAUUGGCACGGCAGAAGAAGUGAAAGAGGUAUUGCGCGAUGUGNUACCCGACGAAAAUAUCAAUCUGAAUUGCGAAGAGCAAUCGGAUGAAAAUAUUAUUGACUUNUAUUAUUUGCCGGGUUUGGGCUUACAAUCGCAAAUGAUGCCUAAUUCGGAUGACCCGCUCUUAUCCUCGUCUCCGAGAGAUUUCGGUCAGCAGCGGGGACAAAUUAUUCAAACGACGCAACCGGUCCAAGCUCAGCAGCAACAGCAAAGUCAACNAUCGCUAUCACAAUCACAGCAAAUACAGCACACCACACAGCAUUUGCUCUACGCCCAGCAAAUGGAGCAUCAAAUGCAAGAACAACAACAGCAGCAACANACAUCUACCGGCGGAGACUACGUUGGCAAUCAAUUAGCAAUGGCAAUGCAACAAACAGUCGGAAACGGCAAUGACACGCCCUCGACGCUACAGUACAAUCUACAAAACCUACCGCAAGUACAAAACCAGCAACAAUACAUUGACGUGAACACACCGAUUCAGCAUGUGUCANCGCUUGAUGGUGGCAUACUGCACCAGCAGCUAGUCUUUACGGGUUCGACCGACAAACAGGAGAUACAUAUAACGGGACAACAAGGCGAUAUGGGUCUUAUGUCCGCCGGUAGCUCCAUUANUACCGACACCAAUAUCUACUUCGCCAGCAACUCCAGUAACUCCAACAACUCAAUGUCCGCUUUGCAACAAAUCGGUAAUCAGUCGAGUACCUGCAAUAUGCCCAUCUCAUCGUCUUCAGGCUGUCAAGCACCAGCGGCUUCUACAGUACUUUCCACACUGCAACCUCUCUCCAACCAAACAAAUUCCAUACUGAAACGUCGUCUGCGGCCGCACAAUUCCAGUGACUCCAGCAAUUCACAAAGUUUCGCUAAAUAUCAUCCGCUCUCACCGUAUCGAUCGAAAUUGCGCAAACCCUCGCGUACGCAUUAUACACCGGCGCCUAUACUUAAUCCCGAUCGAAANGGUGUCGGANUGUAUUGCAGUGUGCGCAAGCAACUCAACACGNGUCUGCUUGGUUUCGAUAGUUUUGAGGAUGAUUUCGACGAUCCGGUGGGCUUAGUGGACUUUUCAGAUGAAUCAAAGGUCAAUCUGGGCUCGGCGUAUCAAGCACAAGUACCGCCUUGNCGAGAACGCAUUCACAGUGCGGGUAGCGAUGCNGCAACNGACGGNGAGUUGUNUAAAACNAACUCUUGUUUCGACGUCGAGGAGCCUGUGAGUGCAGAGCAAUUGUGGGANCCCACCGUACAAACAGACGAGAAAAUUUUGAUGCGCUACAUUGACCUGAGCAAAUCAUCGGCUGUGCCGCUGGGCAGUCACACCGAAGAAGUAGCGCUGCACACACUGCUCAAAGCNCAAGGAAAUAUGGCCGCGGCAGUACUAACUCUACUCCAAACACCAUCGAAUGCAUUCCAGAUGAAAUGGUCCGCUACCGAAUUGGAGGUGUUCUUAAAAGGACUAGAACGGCAUGGCAAAGACUUUGGACGCAUUUCGCUGGAGUUGGGUUCAAAGACAACGGGCGAGUGUGUGCACAUGUACUACUUNUGGAAGAAACUUUGUGUUGACUAUAAAGUAUCACAUCUUAAAACGGAAACGCCACCUCCACCACCGGUGAACGAUCCGAAGCCGUAUGUCUGCGAAGUGCCGGAUUGCUCUGCGAGUCAAAAGUCACAAGUUGNAUUGCGAGUUGUCGCUACUCCCCACCACNACCACGCUGUUGUAUAACGCCGCGCACGCGCAAACGCGCCCAUGUUGAAAGUGCUAGCUCGCUCACUGAAGCAGCAGCCGCCACUGCAACCGGCAUGUGUCUUUCAGCGCCACACUCAGCCAAAGCGUAAAAUUAGUUUUUAAUAAAGUGAAGAGUAGAAGCGCUCACAUGAAGACGCAUCGCGUGCAGGAGCAGCAGCAACAGCAACAGCAACAC